UACGUAGGGUGCAAGCGUUAAUCGGAAUUACUGGGCGUAAAGCGUGCGCAGGCGGUUAUGCAAGACAGAUGUGAAAUCCCCGGGCUCAACCUGGGAACUGCAUUUGUGACUGCAUAGCUGGAGUGCGGCAGAGGGGGAUGGAAUUCCGCGUGUAGCAGUGAAAUGCGUAGAUAUCGGGAGGAACACCAGUGGCGAAGGCGACUACCUGGCCUGUUCUUGACGCUGAGGCGCGAAAGCUAGGGGAGCAAACGGG
rnacentral:rRNA from 1 species